ACUAUCAUCAUCAGGACCAACUUGUUUGUUGCCCCUCAUAGCAGACCUGAUGGGUCUUACCCAACACAAACACAUCUUGAAACAGCGGAAAGAAUAUUAUCGAUAGCUGGCAGUGAUCCUUCCAGUAAGCACAAGGAUUUAGACCACGACCCGGUUUCACAGGUUUUCCAUCAAUUCUACUCACUUUACAUACAUUGUCGUUGGUUUUUUUUUAUUUUUAUUUU